rnacentral:rRNA from 1 species
AGCGCAGGCGGGAAGACAAGUUGGAAGUGAAAUCCAUGGGCUCAACCCAUGAACUGCUUUCAAAACUGUUUUUCUUGAGUAGUGCAGAGGUAGGCGGAAUUCCCGGUGUAGCGGUGGAAUGCGUAGAUAUCGGGAGGAACACCAGUGGCGAAGGCGACCUACUGGGCACCAACUGACGCUGAGGCUCGAAAGCAUGGGUAGCAAACA